rnacentral:rRNA from 1 species
CAGUCGCCACGGUAAUACGUAGGGUGCAAGCGUUGUCCGGAAUUAUUGGGCGUAAAGAGCUCGUAGGCGGUUUGUCGCGUCUGCUGUGAAAUCCCGAGGCUCAACCUCGGGCUUGCAGUGGGUACGGGCAGACUAGAGUGCGGUAGGGGAGAUUGGAAUUCCUGGUGUAGCGGUGGAAUGCGCAGAUAUCAGGAGGAACACCGAUGGCGAAGGCAGAUCUCUGGGCCAUAACUGACGCUGAGGAGCGAAAGCGUGGGGAGCGAACAGGAUUAGAUACCCGCGUAGUCCCUGUCUCUUAUAC